rnacentral:rRNA from 1 species
AUUGAACGCUGGCGGCAGGCCUAACACAUGCAAGUCGCACGAGUGGCGGACGGGUGAGUAAUGUCUGGGAAACUGCCCGAUGUAGGGGGAUAACUACUGGAAACGGUAGCUAAUACCGCAUACCAUCGGAUGUGCCCAGAUGGGAUUAGCUAGUGGGUGGGUUAAAGGCUCACCUAGGCGACGAUCCCUAGCUGGUCUGAGAGGAUGACCAGCAACACUGGAACUGAGACACGGUCCAGACUCCUACGGGAGGCAGCAGUGGGGAAUAUUGCACAAUGGGCGCAAGCCUGAGACAGCCAUGCCGCGUGGAUGAAGAAGGCCUUCGGGUUGUAAAGUACUUUCAGCGGGGAGGCGUUACUCGCAGAAGAAGCACCGGCUAACUCCGUGCCAGCAGCCGCGGUAAUUC